rnacentral:lncRNA from 1 species
UUGGUCUAUGGUUAUUGCACAAAGAUAUGAAGAAAAGAAUGAUAAAGAAACGAAAAGAAAAAUUCUUCAAAAGAAAUGGUGGUUUUUUGUUAAAACAAAGAAUGUCUUCAGGAGAAGUAAAUAUUGACAGAACUACUCUCUUCACCUUAAAGGAUCUAAAAAAAGCCACCGACAACUUCAAUAAGAAUAGAGUUCUUGGAAAAGGAGGUCAAGGAACAGUUUACAAAGGCAUGCUAGUAGACGGUAAAAUUGUUGCAGUGAAAAAGUUUAAGGUUGAAGGAAAGGUCGAAGAGUUUAUUAACGAGUUUGUUAUUCUUUCACAAAUCAACAAUAGAAAUGUGGUCAAGAUAUUAGGAUGUUGUUUGGAGACAGAAAUUCCAUUGCUUGUUUAUGAAUUCAUUCCUAAUGGUAACCUUUUUCAGUAUUUGCAUGCCCAAAACGAGGACAUACCAAUGACAUGGGACAUGCGUUUGAGAAUUGCAACUGAAAUCGCCGGAGCAUUAUUUUACUUACACUCAAUUGCAUCUCAACCCAUUUAUCAUAGAGAUAUCAAAUCUACAAAUAUACUACUUGAUGAAAAGUAUAGGGCAAAAUUAGCAGAUUUCGGAACAUCAAGAAUAAUAUCAAUUGAAGCUACUCACCUUACCACGGUAGUUCAAGGUACUUUUGGUUACUUAGACCCUGAGUACUUUCAUACAAGUCAAUUUACCGAGAAAAGUGAUGUAUUUAGCUUCGGAGUAGUUCUUGCUGAACUUUUAACCGGUAAGAAGCCGGUAUCCUCUAUAGGAUCUGGCGAAUACCAAAGUUUAGCUUCCUAUUUUAUUGAGUGUAUAGAUGAGAAUAUGUUGUUUGACAUUAUUGACAAAAGGGUCACAAAAGAAGGGGAGAAAGAACAUGUCGUUGCAGUUGCAAAUCUUGCGUAUAGAUGCUUAGAGUUGAAUGGAAGAAAACGACCAACUAUGAAAGAAGUUACAUUAAAAUUGGAAGGGAUCAGGGGAUUGAAUAGGAAACUUAGUGCACAGCAAAACCAUGAGGAAAUUGAGCUUCCUGAAAUUGAAGAGCACCGACCUUGGGAUGAGUUUUCUACGUCGAGUUCAUUGCAAAUUGUUGACAGUCAAACAUACUCCACAGACUCGGAGGUUAUGCAUGUUAUUGAAUUAAAAUAGUUCGUAUGAAUGAUUUUGUAACGUGUAUUAUAAACAAGAGUUUGCUUAGCCUUUGAAUAUCAGAUAGUGCAAUGGUUAUUGAAUAAAAUUGGAUUUCUUUGAUUAUUGAGAAAUACUUGAUAGCACGACAAAUUAAGAAGCACGAAUAUGUACGACAGUGUUUUAAGCCGUUUGAUGAAACUUUUUCUUUUUAUUAAUUAUUUAUUUUCUGCUAAUUUUUUCUCCCUUCCGCAUGAUUGCUAUGUUGUGUGUGUCGUGUGCUAAGGACUCGUGUUAUAUAACACUUCUCUUAAUUAUUACACAUCUAAAAAAAUUCUCUUUCAAAUAAAUUACACAAUAAACAGUAGAUAACCGCAUUCAAUUUAUCUAUACAGAAGAAAUGGACAGAUAUUUCCUAAUCUUUUACCGAAGUGAUUAAGUCCUAUAACACAAGUCAAUGGUGAGAAGUCCUCGCGAGCUUAACUCAGUUGGUAGGAAUAAUACAUAAUAUAUACAAGUAGAGUUCAAACUUCGGCCACCAUAAAAAAAAAAAAAAAAAAAGUCAAUGGUUAGAAAUUAUUCUUAGAAAUAUGAUGUAUUGUUUGCUCCACCAUGAUAAUCACGAUAUUUCGUUCUAGUAUCACGACGAAGGCAAAUUUGAUAAGGCAAUUGUUGUUGAAUACGUCCAACAACAUGGUGGAAAAAAUAGAUAAAAGAAAACUUAAUUUUUUUUUAUUUAAUAUAACACAAUGUUGGAAGAGUCUAUAUUCUACUUUGAGACUAUCUGAAUAACAUAAUAUCCAUUAUUGAAGUUGCUCUUCCACUGCUACUAGAAGAUGUGUUACAUAACUGAUCCAAAAAAGCAUAAGUUGUGAGAUGAAUACUGAAAUGUCAUUCAUCCUAAAUACAGUUGGAUAGAGAGAAUGAAAAGAAGAAAAAAAAAAAACAAAUUUUGAUUAUCUCAGUAGGUGGAAUAAGUUAAAUAUAAGCAUGACAAGACUCAUAAUAUAUUUUGGGAAAAUAGGAAAUUAAAUUCUCUUUUAUUAAAAUAAAAUUUCCGAUCCACAAUUUUUAAAAUUUUAGUCUCAGCCUAAAUUUUCUACCUCAAAAUGACUAAAAGUGGUAAUCUAUUGUCGAAAUGUUAAAUCUCAAGAGAAAACAUAUUACUUUUGGCAGCAAAAUUUACUUUUUUUUUUUGCGUUAACAAUUAUCAUUUUUGGGACAAUUAUUCAAAAAUAAUAUUAUUUUUGGAACAAGAAAUAUAAAUCAUGACCAAAACUACAAUAAAUGUGAAAAUUGAGGGACAAAACAUUUCAAUUUUAAAAAUAAGACUAUUUUUUUAUAAAUUUAAUAUAAGAGGUUGAAAAGUUGAACUAAGCUUGAAAUUGGAAACAAUUGAAAUUAAAGGAUAAAUAGAGGAAUUUUGGUAUACGAAAAUACUGCAUGUAUAAGCAACUUUUUUUGACUAGAUUUUCUAACUAUAUACGUAUGAGCAACUUUUUGACUAUAAUUUAAUAUAUAUAUAUAUAUAUAUAUAUAUAUAUAUAUAUAUAUAUAUAUAUAAGCAACUUGAUUGAAUUUUUUCCAACUCUUUUCUUUGUUUUUAAAAUAACGGUCGAUUUAUCAAUGACAAUUCAACAAUAGUAUAUUAGUUAGUCAAAGAAAAAUAGUAUCUUCGUUCAGUUGUUCUUAAUUAUUUUUUGAAAGUCAAACAAAAUAAUAUUCAACAACAAUUUUUAAUUUCCUUAUUGACGAAAAUACUGAGAAAUUUCUUAAACAAUUGUAUUGGCAUGGUUAACACAAAUCCAUAAAUAAGCUGCUUCUAAGAUCCACAGUUAAACUUAAUUAGCUCUAAACAAUGAUUCUGCAGUUUACAAUAUUUCAUAUCAUCUUAGCUCUAAUAUUCCCCAUAUUUCCUCCAUUAACAUCAGCACAACAAGAAGAUGGAAUCAUAGCACAGCAAGGUUGUAAUUCAACAUGCGGAACAAUGUCAAUUCCUUUUCCAUUCGGAAUGAAAGAACCUCGUUGUUAUGCAGACAAAUGGUUUGAAAUAGAGUGCAAAUUAGACAACAAUUCUCAAAAUCCAAAACCAUAUUUGAAGUCUUUAAAUCUUGAGGUAAAUAAUUUUUACCUGGACUUAGGCUUGGUUGAGAUUAUGAAUCCAAUUCAUCGUCCAAACUGUCGAAAAUAUAAUAACAAUAAAACCGUUAUUAUAAACCUUGGAGGCGGUCCUUUCAUAUAUUCACAGGAUUACAACAAAUUUCUAGCUGUUGGAUGUAACAAUCUUGCUUUUAUACAAUCAAGUGGAAACAUGGUUGGUGGUUGUGUAUCAAUUUGCGAUGACAACAACAUAAACAGCAAUUACUUCAAUUUGAGUAGUGAUGGUUGUAAUGGAAGAUAUUGUUGUGAAACUUCAUUGCCUAUGCAUCUUUCAGAAUAUAAUGCGACGUUACAAGGUUUAAGGGGACCAAAUAUUAGUGAGUGUAGCUAUGCUUUGAUUUUAAGUCGUCGUUGGGUAUAUUUUGAUGGGUUGUCAUCAUAUUUGAGUACUUAUUAUCUUGAGAAUUUUAAUAAGUUGGAGGAUAUGGAGUAUGCACCAGCAAUGCUUGAGUGGGAAAUUUUGAAUGAUAUGUUGAUUAAUUCUACAUUUCAACUUCCUUCAGAUUCAUAUUCAAAUUGUUAUGAUUCCCAAGUUACAUCCAUAAAUAACAGAAACACUGGUCGGCAAUGCCAAUGCUUCUCGGGUUACUUUGGCAAUCCCUACAUUGCUGGAGGCUGCACAGGUUUUUCAGUAUAGACCUUUUCAAAUUAUUCACUUGAUUUAGUUCAUCUACUUUUUUUUUUUUAACUUUAAUAAAUUCAACCAUAUUUCAUUAUGAUAACAUUAUAUAAUUUUUCAAAAUGUAGUCAUAAAUAAUCAUUCAAUAUAUGUGAAAAAAAAUUAUGUUCAUGCUUCCCUGCAUAAUUUAUAAAGUUUAUUAAUUCGAAACAUAUUUUAUGAUUUUCAUUUAAUUCUACAUGAUCCCACCCAUGCUUCAUUCUAAUUCAAUUAUUUAUCACAACUUCUAAUUCAAUUUUACUUUGGGUUAUACAUGAGUUUUAAAGUAUAAGCUAACUCGGUUCUUUUGUUUCAGAAAGUGAAGUAUUCAAUAAUAAGAACAACCGGUCAAAGAAGUCGGCUAUUGUAGGUAUGUAUAAAUUUAAAAAGAAAAAUUAACUGAAACUAAGCUAGUGCUUUGGCCAUGAAUUUCCAUCUAGCUGAUACUUUUAUUAGGUAAAAUUGAAUGCAAAAUUUAAAAUAUGUCUAAAAAACACAUACUCUUUCUAUUUGAUAAAACACGUUAACACCUCAUGAUUCGCAUCCCAUAAGUACCACUCAUAUGGUAAAAUGUUAUUGGGAUAUUUGAUAUGCAGACGUGCGGGUCUAAACCCACAGUUCUCCACUUCUCCGUACUUAGUGUGAGUUUUGCAAUUAACAGCUCUCAAUUACACUCACCAGUCACCACUAUGUUUUCAUAAUCUCCUAAUUUAUUGUGACAAAUGUGUAGGGGUUUCAUCAAGUCUCGGAUCCAUAGGUUUCAUGAUUGGUCUAUGGUUAUUACACAAAGAUAUGAAGAAAAGAAUGAUAAAGAAACGAAAAGAAAAAUUCUUCAAAAGAAAUGGUGGUUUGUUGUUAAAACAAAGAAUGUCUUCAGGAGAAGUAAAUAUUGACAGAACUACUCUCUUCACCUUAAAGGAUCUAAAGAAAGCCACCGACAACUUCAAUAAGAAUAGAGUUCUUGGAAAAGGAGGUCAAGGAACAGUUUACAAAGGCAUGCUAGUAGACGGUAAAAUUGUUGCAGUGAAAAAGUUUAAGGUUGAAGGAAAGGUCGAAGAGU